CACCGCGGUUAUACGAGAGACCCAAGUUGAUAGCCCGCGGCGUAAAGAGUGGUUAAGAUUCCGCCCUACUAAAGCUGAACGACUUCAAAGCUGUUAUACGCGCAUGAAGAUAACGAAACCCAAUUACGAAGGUAGCUUUAAAUUACUGACUCCACGAAAGCUAUGACA
rnacentral:rRNA from 1 species